rnacentral:rRNA from 1 species
UACGUAGGUGGCAAGCGUUGUCCGGAAUUAUUGGGCGUAAAGCGCGCGCAGGCGGUGCUUUAAGUCUGAUGUGAAAGCCCACGGCUCAACCGUGGAGGGUCAUUGGAAACUGGGGGACUUGAGUGCAGAAGAGGAAAGCGGAAUUCCACGUGUAGCGGUGAAAUGCGUAGAGAUGUGGAGGAACACCAGUGGCGAAGGCGGCUUUCUGGUCUGUAACUGACGCUGAGGCGCGAAAGCGUGGGGAGCAAACAGG